rnacentral:lncRNA from 1 species
ACUAUUCAGAUUCUGUAUUGUUGCAGCCUUUUGCUAAAUCAUUAAUGAAUCCUCUAAUUGCAGCCUAGAAAAAGAGGAUAAAAGCAUACAUACUCAAUACCGCCUAUUGGAAUCCCAUGGCAAGAUGUUGUAUGACACUUCGUCAAAGGAUCUAGAAAAAUGUUCUACAAGAACAAGAGAAGGAUGCUCUUACCAAUAGGAGAUCCACCAAUUCAAGUUUGCAAUUCUAUAAUAGAGGAGAAUUUACCUUUCCUUUGAUUUUUUCCUCUCAGAGAUAUCACCAUAGCCGAUAACCAAUAGGAACUUACGGAGAAUCGAAAAGAAGCUAUUAUGGAAACAAAUAUGAAGGAUAAAAUCUCACAACUAAUGAGAAUGAAUAUUAGAUUGUCAACUGCAGGACCACUAAAGGCAACAAUCUGGCUCAUUUCUAUGUUUUGUAACUAUUUAAGUUGUAUAUCACCAAGUAAACAUAGUAGGACAACUCCGUGAGAAGUUCUGGUGAUAUUUUGGAGACAAAAACUGAUGCUAACAUGUAAUAAUAUGCACUAGUUCAAUGUAAAUAGAUUGUUCUAAACAGAAAUUGAUCCACAAUAUAAACAAUUCGAUUAAUAAGUAGCACUGUAGUCUAUAGAAAAAUAAAAAUGUCCUGUUAUUGAGAAAAUUCCUAACGUCAUAUAGAAGCACAAAACUCUAAUUUCAAAAAAUUCAGAAUGAAAGCACAUUCAAAAUCAUUGCCUAAAAAUUUUGAACAAUCUUACUUGUUCAAAAUGCAUUAGAUCACAUUAAGAAAACAAAACAUUAAGAUAAUGUCACGGUUAGAACUCAGCUUUGAUUCUCACGGCAACCAUAGCUCAUAAAAUGGAGAUUUCCAACUGAAAUCAACUGAAAAUAGUAACCAAAUAAAGAGAAAAUAGAAAGGGGUAGAGGGUGAAAGAGAAAAUUAGAAGAAAGAGAUGAGAAAAGCUUUUGAAUGAUUUCAACAAAGUUUACUGAAAUGACCAGAUUACAAAAGCUGCCCUUCAUCUUUCCCUAAUUAUGUAUCUAUAGUCUUCCAAUACAGAGAAAAUGCAUAUCUUUGGAAAAAUGCAAAAGGCGUGUUUUAACUAACUUAAUACAAUUGAUUAAGACAAAAGGUGUCGUUUGGUUGCAAGUAAAUUGGAGUCAUUUCCCAAUUCGAAUUUCCAUUGCUUCCAUUGGUUGUCUUCUUCCAGUUUUCUCCCAUUUCUUCUUCCUAUCUGAUCUUAAUUUCUUUCUCCCCCAUUGAUUCUCCACGUGAUAGAGAAUUUUGAAACCAUACUAUUUUCAAUCGAGUUUGAACCUUCACUUUAAUAUAGAUCUAUUAUAUCCUCUUACAACCCAAUAAAUGAAUUAAUGGCAACCCAAUAAACGAAUUUAUAGCAACCAAAAAACCCAAUCUGCUUUACACGGUAUUUUCUUGCAAAUUGAUAUAAUCCAAUAAAUGAAAUUCAAUAAACACUACAUCUAAGUCAUCUCUGGUGCUGACUCGUAUAGCUAGGUUAAUGGGCUCGAUGGCUAAUGUCUAAUUGAAGGUGGCGAAAUAGUUAUCUUGUGGCGGAACAUCAAAGUAGAGAAAAGUGAAGGGCAAAGAAGACGGGGGAAUGAAAAGAUAAGUGGGAAAGAAAAAGACAAGAAAGAAAACGUGGAAAA